rnacentral:misc_RNA from 1 species
AACGUAGGGGGCGAGCGUUGCCCGGAUUCACUGGGCGUAAAGCGCGCGUAGGCGGUUUCUUAAGUCGGAUGUGAAAUCUCACGGCUCAACCGUGAAAUUGCAUCCGAUACUGGGAGACUUGAGGACGGUAGAGGUCGGUGGAAUUCCAGGUGUACCGGUGAAAUGGACAGAUAUCUGGAGGAACACCAGUGGCGAAGGCGGCCGGCUGGGCCGUUCCUGACGCUGAGGCGCGAAAGCCAGGGUAGCGAACCGG